rnacentral:tRNA from 1 species
UUUGGUUUGUUGUAUGGUCGCAAGAUAGCUUUUCGUGCUUUUAGUGGGGCAACCGCCCCAAUCAGAU